CCGGCAACACAAAAUGUUUGUCUGCAAGCUUAACACAAAUGCAAUGGAAAAAGAAAGGCAGUUCACGGCGAUAAAUAACCACAUGUUUGGCAGAAAUUCUCGAGAAUUAAGGAAAACCAACCGUCGAAGACGAAUCAUCCGUCACCAAGAUAAUGCGAGCUCUCACGUAUCGGCGCACAAAAAAGGGUCUUUGGGAACUCAAAAGAUCGAUUUAAUGGGACAUCCGCCUUGCAGCCCUAAUUUGGCGCCUAAUAAUUCAUCUUUGUUCACGAACACCUGAGCCUUAAAGAGCUCGUUUUGGAGAUAUCCACCUCUGAGUGGCAAAAGUGCUUUGAAAAUUGGUUCAAGCGAAUGGAAAAAUAUAUUAUAUUGACUUCCAAGGAGAAUAUUGUGAAAAACAAUGAAGCCAUUACAUUAUUAUUUUGCGAAAAUUCGCGAAAUAUAAACUGAAAAGAAGGAAUUUGUGUAAAAACAACUCGUCGAUUUUGCACCAUGACAACGCACUGACGUAUAGUGUCGGCAUUAGACUCUAGAUUUUAACCAAGACCAAAACGAAUACAAUUCAACAGCCAUAAAAUUCACCCGAUGUGGCUCCGCGAGUCAAAAAACCACUAUGUGGACCACGUUUUAGCAGUCGAAAGGAAGUAAAGGAAAAAUUGAAGACGGCUCUGAUGGCUAUACCGAAAAUAGAGUUCCAGAAAUCUUUCGAGAGCUGCUGGCAUAGGUGCGGUGUAGUUGAUGGGAAGUGCUUUGAAGCCGAUAAUAUAACUUUUGAGGAAUAAGGAGACAAUUCGCUGAGCUGUACGUACUUUUUGCUUGAAAUACGUCUUCUCAUGACCUGGUUGAGAGACUCUAAUUGUUGUUGUAGUAGCAUAAACAUUCCCCAUACAUGUACGAAGAAUGCUGCUGAAUUAACAGUCCUUGGCCGGAUAUAAAUUCGGGUCGUUCUGGGUAGGAUUCUGAUUUUUAAGACUUUUGACGCCGAAAACUAGUGAGUUCUAAGCGAUACAGGUACUUGCCGUUAUCGCAUUCAAUAGUAAAUCUGUAGGAAUUUUUCUAACCAUCCUUGAAAUAAAAUCGCCGCAUUCGGAACUUUCGUUUGAUGUACGCCAACACAGCGUCAUAGCAACCACAGUGAAAAAUUAUUCAGCCGAUUGCAUAUUGUGGGCGCGUCAGUGGAAGCUGCCAAGGCUUAAAAUAAAUACACACAAGUGAAAAUAUCAGCGCCGCCAUCAACCAGUCCGUCAGCCU